UACGACGGGGGCUAGCGUUGCUCGGAAUCACUGGGCGUAACGCGCACGUAGGCGGAUCUUUAAGUCAGGGGUGAAAUCCUGGAGCUCAACUCCAGAACUGCCUUUGAUACUGGGGAUCUCGAGUCCGGGAGAGGUGAGUGGAACUCCGAGUGUAGAGGUGAAAUUCGUAGAUAUUCGGAAGAACACCAGUGGCGAAGGCGGCUCACUGGCCCGGUACUGACGCUGAGGUGCGAAAGCGUGGGGAGCAAACAGG
rnacentral:rRNA from 1 species